GCAGGAACGCUGUAACCCGUCCACACACCUCCACGACAAUCACAACAAUGGCAUCCCGGGACCCGGACGCCACGCCCACGACUACCUCGACCAAGAUGGUUUCAAGACGAUAAAAUAACUAUAACUCAAACUUGAACUCUAGGACCGGACACGGUGGCGAACAAUUUAUUGAAACACAUGGCGAUGGUACCCCCUUUGAGCGGGUUUGGUGGACCUGAAAGAACGAGUUACGACAAACGAAAGGCACUGAAACAAUGACAGCGUUUUAAUGCAACCAUACUUAUCUGCUAAAUCUAUCGAGAAGAGCAAGGUGAGAAGACCCAGCGAGAGAUACUUGGCAGCCUCGUAUACCUACGCCAGGCCUCGUACAAAACUCGUUGGGCCGCUGACGGCUGAGCGCAUUAUCUACCGAACUUCCCUUCCCGAGCCUAGCAAGCAGCUUAGGUCCCGUUCAGCUCCCGCAGCCACUCACCAGCUCCAGCAGCUCCAGCAGCUCCUGUAGCCCCAGCAGCUCUCAGCCCAGCUGCGCCCCUCCGGCAGCUCCACCCGUCCUACACUCCGAGGCCCCUUGUCGUACUGCCGGCGCCCCGUCAGCCGGUCGGUCGGUCGGUCCACAGCGAACCACCGCGGGCGGCAGCAGCGGCGGAGCCAGUCUGCCGGCCCGAGGUGCCGCCCACCUAUACAGGCUCGCCUGCCCGCCGCGGCGCAGUAGACCGACCGUUCUGGGAUGGUCCAGGGACGCUCCUGCGCCAUAGCAUAGAGCUACGGACAAGGCCGGGGUGCUGAGAUGGACUAUAAUCUGACCGUGAAAUGUGGAAAUGCUUCGAUGAAUGAACGGUUACCUAUGA